rnacentral:rRNA from 1 species
UGCCAGCCGCCGCGGUAAUACGAAGGGGGCAAGCGUUGUUCAGAUUUACUGGGCGUAAAGGGCGCGUAGGCGGACGAUCAAGUCAGAGGUGAAAGCCCCGGGCUCAACCUGGGAAUUGCCUUUGAAACGGGUCGAUCUAGAGACCGGGAGAGGUAAGCGGAAUUCCUAGUGUAGAGGUGAAAUUCGUAGAUAUUAGGAAGAACACCAGUGGCGAAGGCGGCUUACUGGACCGGUACUGACGCUGAGGUACGAAAGCGUGGGGAGCGAACAGGAUUAGAUA